AGGACGAACGCUGGCGGCGUGCUUAACACAUGCAAGUCGAGCGGAAAGGCCCUUCGGGGUACUCGAGCGGCGAACGGGUGAGUAACACGUGAGCAACCUGCCCCUGGCUCUGGGAUAGCCUCCGGAAACGGGGAUUAAUACCGGACAUUCUCCUCCUUCCGCAUGGUUGGGGGUGGAAAGUUUUUCGGCCGGGGAGGGGCUCGCGGCCUAUCAGCUUGUUGGCGGGGUAACGGCCCACCAAGGCGACGACGGGUAGCCGGCCUGAGAGGGCGACCGGCCACACUGGGACUGAGACACGGCCCAGACUCCUACGGGAGGCAGCAGUGGGGAAUAUUGCGCAAUGGGCGGAAGCCUGACGCAGCGACGCCGCGUGGGGGAUGAAGGCCUUCGGGUUGUAAACCCCUUUCACCAGGAGCGAAUCAAGACGGUACCUGGGAAGAAGCGCCGGCUAACUACGCGCCAGCAGCCGC
rnacentral:rRNA from 1 species